GAAGAGACAAGUGCCGGGAUGCUGUCAGCUGCAUCGUCCCCUCCCUGAGGGUCUCUGCUAGGAGGGCUCCACCAUGGUCCUCUUCAAAUACAUGGGCCGCUGUGCUCUGAUACUCCUCCUCGCUCUGUUAUGUGAUGUGGCUGGACUGAUCAUCCUCCUCCUGGGAAUUUUUGCUCCACUAAGCUACUGGGACUUCUUCAUCUACUCAGGAGCUGUACUGAUCGCCUUCAGCCUCCUCUUCUGGAUAUCCUGGUACACAUCCAACAUCGAGGUCCCCUUUAGAGAACUAGGUUUUAACUAACCCAAGGCUCCAGAAAAGCAGAAGUGGAAACUAGCAUUUGGAGGAGCAACAUCAUCUGCUGGGAAGCGCUAAAGCAGCAUUCAGGGGAAGAGCUCCAAAAGAUCACAGGGAAGGGCCUGCUGUUCCCUACAGCAUCGCCCAGCCAGAGGGACCCUCAGGGGAAAGUGGCUGUGAUUAGCAUCCAGGAAGUUUUCUCCACUCCCCGAGGAACCUGGUAGCUGCAGCGACACAUGUGGUCCUGAAGCCAGUAGGAUGACUUCACAGGGUCCCCAUUGCCACACUGAGAGAAGAGGCUGGGAGGGGACCAAGCAGGACAAUCUGCCUCAGCCCAGCUAAGGGCUGGAUGUGCUGAGCCUGUAGCAGAGAACAUGUGGCCUCAUUUUUUGGGAAAACAGAGAAUCACCAGAGUAUGAAUCCAAGGAGCAAGCAGAUAAAUAGGAGUAGCACCAAGUAGCCUGUGUCCUGCCAAUCUUGGACAAGGUCUUCUCUUGAAAACCUGCCGCUGAAUAUGCAGACAGAGCAGUGUCGUACGGGUCUGCUGGGCACGUUGUAACCAGUCUGUGCCUGAGUAUUCAAGGCAUGCACAGAACGGCGGACACUCUUUUUACAUCCUCUGUAAGCACAUCACACUCACUCCUACCCACCGACAUUGCCUCGGCGUGCCCGACACUGGCAAUCUGGUAGCAGCAAAGCGGCUGCAGGUUGUCCUGGAUCCGGGCCAGGUGCAGAUCAGCAGGAUCCCAGCAGACAGGCUGGACCAGUUCUGCAAACCUCAGGCUGUGCAUAAGAAUGGGUUUGACAGAGCUCCCGGCCGGAGAGGCUGUCUGAGGUACCAGCAAGAUAUAAGCUAACUACCCCACUUGGGGGCCUCGCCUGUACGUUAAUGCUCUCAAGAGGAGAUGGAGACAUCAAAAUUGUGCAGGACAGAGGAUUUCCUAAGGGAAGCCUAGAGGCCAGCUGGUGGACUCCUGGCUAGAUAGAGGUCAGAGGUACAUUUUUACUUAGACUCACCAAAGUCCCAAACACUUUCUAACUGGCAUCUAAUGAAAUACUGAGAUCUUGGUACAAAGAACUAAUGGAGGCUUUGGCAGCUGUGAAGCCCAGGAAAGGAUUUAGUGCUGCAGCUGUCAAACUGAUAGUGGUUCAACGUGGAAAUAAACUUCCCUGCUGAUUCAAAAUGCAAAUUUCAGGUGGGAGGAGAGGAAACAAUGAGAUCUAUGUCUCUGUUCUCCUGUGUUCCUGAUGCAGCACUCAGCUUACCGUAAGGACAUUCUGUAGGAUGGAAGCACAUAAAAACACCUGUCAAUCAGGUUGUUCAACACUUUCCAUUACAUGCCAAUUGUUUUCAAUCGUUUAAAACUUUAUUAAGCUUUAUUCCACUGUGAUUUCCCACCCUUGAGCAUCUGCCUCUGAGAACAAGUUUGAUACUUCUGUGCUUCUCUCUGGAGACCAGCUGACAAGAUAGUGCUGACACUCGGAGACAUCCCUUUUCAUCAAGACAUGCUGUGCUAAAUGGUAUCAAAGCAUACAUGCAUUGACUGAACAUAGGAGAGAUCUUCCCCACCAUUUCAGAAACCUACAGGCUUCCCUGUGGGUAAGGGAGACGUGAUUUGGGCCCAACGUGCAAAUGCUGCUUGCACUCAGGCAAGCCCAUCCAGGGCUCCAUCAGACAUCUCAUGAUGAGUUAAAGAGGCCCCAAGGAGAGUGCAUAGAGGAGAAAACACUAAGGCCUCCAGGAGAGUUAUGCUGGGGAUGCCCGCCUUCACUGGUGCCUAGACAAUACCACAAACCAAAUAAUGCUUUGUGGUCAACACUGGACCUUUGACCUCCUUGUUGGCCUUAAUUUUUGCUCCUUGGGCCAAUAGCAAUGUUGGAGGGAUUUUUAGGUAAGCUGUCAUCGUGGGAACUACUAGCCUGGAAGGAUCUAGGAGCUCUUUCCUAUUGCUAGUCCCUAUGGCACGAUGGAGACCCAUCGCUGUAUGCCAAGGCUGGGAUUUCUGCCCUCACCAUGAGGAAGCAACUGGUGUCCCUUGUAGCCCUCUAACCACCCUUGUGCUCCCACCCUGGGAAGGAAGGCUCCUUGCUCAAGUCCAACAUGUGCUGUGCUGGACCCACUGCCCCAAACAUCAGAGUAACUGACACGUGAAACAUGGGCACACUUGCUGCCUGAUCCUGUCCCCAGCAGAACAGGGAUCACAUCCCAGUGGCCCAGAACAUCGACCAGAGAGUCAUCACACUAAGGGACACCAUAUGCCAUGUCGGACAGGGUAUAAGGCUGUGUCCUGGGGAUAAGAUGCAGCACAGAACAUGUGCCUGGGUGUUGUGCAGUGUUGUGUAUUAUUUUAGGGGACCUGUGCUGGUGUCACUUUUCCAUGUUUUUUAUUAUAGUUGCUGCCCUCAUUUCCAAAGCUCAUGGCUUUAUUGACAGUAGAUGGUGGGGUGAAGGGGAAGCCUCUGGCUUUGUCAAUUCAUUCAAAGUUACUGGCUAUUACAAAAUGUGGUAGCAUGUGUGGGACAGAUCAUACAGUCCGAUCACUACUGGCAAAAAUCAGCAUUAUUAAUCCUUCUCUGGCAGUGAAGAGAUACCUCUUCCUAUACAAAUAAGUUGAAAAAAAGGAGACACACACACACAAAAAACAACAACUACUGUUGGCUUUUCUGCAUUUGCAGUCAUUGGGAGGUGCUCUGAAGGUCAGUAAUUCGUCCUUUUUCCUCCAAAGAUAAAAAUAUAUUAAGAGUAUCUCUGUGGUUCUUGCAAAUUCUCAUGACUCCAGGAGCAGGGACUUCUAGGAAAAUAGCAGUUGUCAGGAGAUCACUAGCAAUAACCCCAAGGCAAGUACUCCUAGGGGCAACGCACUAUGUGAAUGAUUGCCCUCUGCCAUGGGUGGGAGCUGAUCUUCUCCAGGCCAGACUGCCAGAGAGUAGCCAAAUAUCCAUCCAUGGCUGACCAAGGAAGGAGCUAGCCCAAAGCCAGGAAUUUUAUCGAAUAAAUGGUCUGGUGAAGUUUUGAA